CCGGCACGGGUGAGUAACACGUAUGCAAUCCACCUGUAACAGGGGGAUAACCCGGAGAAAUCCGGACUAAUACCCCAUAAUAUGGGCGCUCCGCAUGGAGAGCCCAUUAAAGAGAGCAAUUUUGGUUACAGACGAGCAUGCGCUCCAUUAGCCAGUUGGCGGGGUAACGGCCCACCUAGUCUUCGAUGGAUAGGGGUUCUGAGAGGAAGGUCCCCCACAUUGGAACUGAGACACGGUCCAA
rnacentral:rRNA from 1 species